GAGUGGUUACCCAACAUACCAAAAAUACAAUACAGCUUGAGAAUAAUAUUAUGAAAAUAGUUUAUCAUAAGAAUUUUUCAACAAUGCUUGAGAAACACUUUUUUGCACAAACUUUUCUCAAAUCUGUCCUUUGUUGACAAAUUUGUUUUGAUUUUUUUUGUGAAAAUUGUCAACAAAAAAUUAUUUUCUUUGGUUAAAAUCAAAAUCACGCGAAUUUAGGACCCAUUUCCGGACGAAACUCUAAGAAUGGAGGCGUCUAAAAGUUGCAGGAAUUCAACAGAAGUGAAGAAUAAGUGGAGGAGAUACAGAAGCUCAAAUAAGGGGAAAGAAAGCAUCUAGGUAUCAAGGCAACAGGAUGCAGUGACAGCUGGGAUGGCAAUCAAUGAAUGAAAUGUGUAAAAUAAUUAAAAAAAUGAAUAAAUAAAUAUUUUUUACCAUUGAAAAAAUAA